CAUAAGAAAAGUAACAUUUACUUCAAAAAAUUUUUACAUUGUCGUGGUUACAAGAGCCAAUUAUGUUUGCAAGAACAGGACUUAACUCGCUUAGGAAAUGAUCCAUUUUACGGCUCAAUCCAAAUAACAAAUCCAAAAACCAGGAGUUAACUCGCAUCAUCGAUUGCUCAUCCGUCGAGAAAGCCUCCCAAUCACAGUACACAAACCAAUCAUCAGCUUUGGCCCCAGCAGUUGAAGUACAUGACUUGCCGGAGAGACUCAUCAGACUGUGUUGUCUUCCAGUCUCCGACACCGACGUUUAAUCGUAGAAGGCCGGAAAAUGGACGGAAAUCGGAGGAGAAGGCCUUCUUGCCAUGUCGGAGGGAGUUGAUGAGGAGGGAUUUAAGUUUGUAUCCUUGAUCUGUAUGUCCAUUGGCAACAGCUACGCCGGCGGCCAUCCAUACACGGUUUACAGAAGUCAUUUUGUGAGCGAGAAAGUAUGAAUUCUGGUAAUUAAUGAGGUGUAGAUUUGUAGUGUUGCGAUUUUCUGAUGAAAUGAAGAGAAGAGAGAGGGGAUAUUAACUUAUUUAUAGAGAUGGAGUGUGGUUUGGGGGUUAAAAUAUGCAUGGUGGUUUUGAGGGAGCAGCACAUGAGUAGCAUAGCUUAGAUGCAUUCAUGUGGCCUUCUUGGAAUGAUGGAUCUCACUCGGGGUGAGUCAUGAUCGAUGGCAACCAAUAAGCUGCCAACAGGUUUCUUCAAUUUCAUGUAUUGGGGCACGUAGAAUACGUUUGUAAUUUUUUAUAGGAUACAGAAUCACACCAAUCUGCAUCUGUCCCUUUCAAGACACGUGGGUCGAUAUCGACGCAGCUGAUAACGUGGUUUUAGCCUUUUUCUUCAAUGUUUAUGAGUGGUGGAUUUAUUAGUUAUUACACAUCCUUCUAACUAAAAUAUAUAAUAGUCCAAAUCUUCAAAUCUGUUUCGAAUAUUUCUGUUUUUGCAAUUUGUUCAUGCAUUAUUUUUCGUGUAGGGUUCCUGUGAUUACUUAAUUACAGUAUGGAUAAUUGAUUGGUCUUGCUGAUGAAGGAACAUCUGCUUCAUUUCCUUCUACUUCAUCAACGCCACAACCCCCUUCUCCCAGCGACGCCGACGUUGACGUCGACAACCCCGAGAACGACUCUGAUACCAUCGCCCCUUCUCCCUCCCAGCGGUUCUAGAUAAGGUUGAAAUGUUGGAAAGAAAAAUUGAGAUGCUAUUAAAGGGCAUGUUUCAUGUAAUGAUGGAGAAGAAGUAUGGAUGUAUUUGUUUAGCUUGAACAUUUGUUGUUGUUUUUCCUGAUCACUUUUUUUUCUAAUAGAUUUGUUGAUCACACCAAGAUAUUUGUAUGUUUUCAUGGAUUUGAAAGAAUUUAUGUUGUAUUUUGGAUUUGUGUUUAAUUUGGACUUUGUAUGGUGUUAAAUAUAAGAAAUAGCAAUGUAUUUUUAUUGAUUUA